ensembl:snRNA U6 U6 spliceosomal RNA
GUGCUUGCUUCGGCAGCACAUAUACUAAAAUUGGAAUGAUACAGAGAAUAUUAGCAUGCCCCCCACGCAAGGAUGACACGCAAAUUUGUGAAGUGUUCCAUAUUUUU